ensembl:lncRNA
UUUUUUUUUUUUUUUUUUUUUUUUUUACAAGAAACAUACUUCUCUAACUGAACACACUUUUCCAACCUUGAGGGUAUUCUAAGUUGCCACUCAAAAAUCCAGUAAGCAAAGAACAUAGAAGAUGCAGGCAUUAAAGAGACGACAUCAGCAGAGUGUAGAGUAGCAACAAAACUAAUUAAUCAUUUCGCAUGUAGUAUACAACAGGAUAUAAUUCAAUAGAAGAAAUGCAAACACCCUGCAUUUGUCUGGACUGAUCAACUGUGGAAAUACAUGAUCGGAAAGGCAAGUUUGACAGCAGUUCUACCAAGGGCCAAGGGGGUCCGGAUCACAGAUUGAACACAAGUCAGAACCAUGCUGUAGAGAAAAAAAAACUGCAUCACAGGAGGAUGUGUAAAGAAAAAGGUCAGUUAGAUGAGACAUGAAGCAACUUUACUCUGCUAGGUUCUGUCAGUAAGAUCUCUGUUAAGUGUUGGACUUCAGAAGAGAUUGGACCAAUUUGACAGAAAUUGGGGAAACAACUGGAAUUAUAAGAGAUCUAGAAGAUGUCCUUUCUUUAAUAACCUACUACAGCUAAAGACUAAUGAAACUAGAAAUAUUUAGUUAAAAAAAAUACAAGCAUCAAUAAAGAUGAGGUAAAUAUGCUCUCAAUCUCAUGGAGUGAGCACAGGGAAUAAUAAGUUCAAAUUGAAGCAAAGGAGAUUUUGAUUUAACAUGAUAAAUGAUUUUCCAACAGUUGCAAUAGAAAAAUGACAAUGCUGCCUAAAGAGAGGGCAGAACAUCUUCAGAGGUUUUUCAGGAAGAAAAAGGCAAGUAUUAUCUAUUUAUUUCACAAUGGGAAGAGUUUAUCCAGCCUGAAGGCAAGGAAAUGAACCAGGAGCCACUCAAGGUACUCCUAUCAUCAUAAGCUUUGCAGAGCCAGGGCCAGGCUUGAGCUCUGGUACCCAGAUACCCCCUAAGAUGCCAUUGGUGUUCUCAGCAGGGCUCAGUCCUGUGCUGGGCACUGUCCUGGGGAUUGAAACUCCAAAGAUUGGUCUCAGCAGUCACUAUGGACACAGCCUUUGCACCCAGGGGAAAAAGUAUUCAACUACACUGGCCUCAGGGCCAUAGCACUGGCCAUUGCCCUGUUGCUUUUAUAGGUGGAGAUUAGAAGUGCCCUCUGGUCCUAGUUUCUGUGGGCAUUUCUGUACCAGGCUAUUUUUGACAAGAGGAAUCCAAAAGCCCUCUCAAAAUAUGUGCAAUUUAAAUGAAUAAGCUUUUUUGUAUACAACAGCCAUCCAGUUCUGGGGCAUUCGUGCAGUUUCGCUGCACUUAGCAGCCCCGUAUAAAUAACAUAUGAAAGGAAAUACUCCAUGUGUAUGCUCAUAAAUUCAAAAUAGUUAUAAUAAUUCAUUGCAAUGUUACCAAGAAGAAAGUCCCACUAUUCUAAGUACUUCUACAAAUCAGUAGCAAGACGGACUCCCUGUCCUAAACAUUGCACGGUGUGGUCUGACACAAGAGCAGAGGGUAAGAUGACAUGAUGAUGUAAGCCACUUGAUUCCAAAAAGAUUUUUUUUGAAAGAAAAAAAAAAAUAUAUGAGAUUGCCCAUAGCUAUUUUCAGUAUAAGGUACAAAUAUUUAGCAUUUCCUCCUCCACUGAGGCUUAAGUCAGUUGUCAGGAGGUUGAGCUCAGUAAGGUUUAUGCAGUGGUGCGACUGCUUCAAAAUUUCAUCUUGUUCAAACAAACGCAUCAGUCCAUCUGUAACAUGCUUGUCUAGGUUGUUUCCAUUUAUAAAGCUUCAAAGGGCUGGGCAGUCAGGAGAUGAGUCAGGAGCUUUUACCUACAGAUACUGACCUAUAUUUAGAUUUCUCAUUGUAAUGGGGAGAAGAGCGAAACAUGGUCUGGUUCAAGAAAUACAGCUUAUUCAAGCUGUAGUCAAGUUCCAAGUGCAUCUGCUCUUCUGGCCUUGCACAUUUCUAAGCACCACGGAGACUCUGAGUAUCAGCACUUCAGAAAAUUGUUUCCUUAAAAGAAAUUCAAAGAAAUGUUGCAAAAUUGGCCCAUAUGUUUCCUGCCAUAGUGACAAUAUCAUGGACAUCAGGGUUAUUUUCUUUUCCAUUCAAACCACCAUAAAAAAAAAAUAACAGCACCACAGGCAUGGACAUAAGCUAGUAAGUAACAUCUUAGUGCACUGAUCUGCUUGCUGUUCACAGGAGGGCUAAUGAAUAUAUUAGCUUUAGAUAGGAUACCAUUAGUAAUCUAUGCAUGAAUUUUGUUACAUAGCCUAAACCCCAUCUAUCCCAUAGAACACAAAUGCACAACUAUCACACACAACUACAUAAAAAGGUGAGUUGUGGGGGAAAAUAAUCAUUAAUUCUUUCAUAUAUUAGUCCUACACAGUGUGAAAGGUGUGGUAUUGAGGUAUAAGAUUUCACAGUUGAAAAAGGGGCAGUACUACACUACUAGCUUCAAAUAUGGUACCCAAUUUAACGUUAAUUUAACCAUUCUGUUUGGGUUUUAGGACAUUUCUAGUGAUUCCUACCACAUCCUAAUCCUCUCUGUACCAAAUCUCAAAAACCUCACUAAACUGAUGGCAAGAAGAGCCCCUGGCAUUUGAAGAAAUCAGAUCUAGAUGCACACUAGUUUCUGUAAGCAAGUACAUUAGUAACUCAUCUUUAAGGGACAGACAGUGAAAAGUCCCCCCUAUGCUGUAAAGAGAAGACUGCAAUCAGCCGUGGAUCUUCUUGAGAAUGGGAGAAGGAGCUUAAUGAAUCAAAUAAAUGCUCCAUAGGAAUUGAAUUUGACAGGGUACACUGACUAAAUUAUGCGCUUUCUGAUGAUGAGGCUGGAUCUAAAGCAGCUCUUCUAGAAAGCGUAAUGUGGUGUUGGAAAAAAAAAGAGUGCCAACAAAAAUGAUUGGCUCAAUGUUUGGUGCUAUGUGAAAUGGCCUUUAAAACUCAGGCAUACUAUCUAUCCCUGUUUUUUUACUGUAUAAAUGCACUUUGCACUUGCAUUUUUCCUAGCAACAGUACAUUUAUACUCAUCUGCCUAAAUUAUUCCUGAAAAGGAACAAAAUACAGCUCCAUAGCACAAGGAAAGGAGGCAAUUAUAGGUAGAGUUAAUAAAUCCACUUUGACUGCCUUCUCCUUUCAGAGCUGCAUCCUAAGCCCAUCAUUAGAAGACACAUUUUUGAUAAAGCACAGUAGGAACCUCCGAAAAGCAAUCCAAAAAAACCUCAUGCCUUUGCAGAAAAUGGCAGAUAUAAAGGCUCACAGCACCAGACUUACAGCAUAAUCUGCUGCUGAGCAAAGGUUGGACCUGGUGGCCUCCAAAGGUCCUUUCCCACCUCAGCCAUUCUGCAGUCCUGCAGUAUAGCAGUGCCACACCAUUGCCUUGGCUGAGUUUGAGCAAGAGCACAAAGCAGUAUAGCAGAAUUACUGCAGCACUUGGUUUGGGGUUGUAUAUGCUGCUUCUCACAGCAUGAUUUUGCCUCCUAUGUGACACACCUGCAAGCAAGAACACAUCCCUGCAUCCUGCUAGCAAAGGCAGGAAAGUGCUAAUCUAUAUUUUCAGGAACAUCUUUUUUAAAUUAAAAAAAAAAA